rnacentral:rRNA from 1 species
CCUACGGGGGGCUGCAGUGAGGAAUAUUGGUCAAUGGACGAGAGUCUGAACCCGCCAAGUAGCGUGAAGGAUGACUGCCCUAUGGGUUGUAAACUUCUUUUAUAUGGGAAUAAAAUGUUCCACGUGUGGGAUUUUGUAUGUACCAUAUGAAUAAGGAUCGGCUAACUCCGUGCCAGCAGCCGCGGUAAUACGGAGGAUCCGAGCGUUAUCCGGAUUUAUUGGGUUUAAAGGGAGCGUAGGUGGAUUGUUAAGUCAGUUGUGAAAGUUUGCGGCUCAACCGUAAAAUUGCAGUUGAAACUGGCAGUCUUGAGUACAGUAGAGGUGGGCGGAAUUCGUGGUGUAGCGGUGAAAUGCUUAGAUAUCACGAAGAACUCCGAUUGCGAAGGCAGUUCACUGGACUGCAACUGACACUGAGGCUCGAAAGUGUGGGUAUCAAACAGGAUUAGAUACCCUUGUAGUC